rnacentral:rRNA from 1 species
GACGAACGCUGGCGGCGUGGAUAAGACAUGCAAGUCGGACGCUGAUUAGAGGGUAGCAAUAUUCUCUAGUUGGAGUGGCGCAAGGGUGCGUAACACGUGGGCAAUCUGCCGUGAAGCCUGGGAUAACUCGCUGAAAGGCGAGCUAAUACCGGAUGAGAAUGUUGGGAGGCAUCUCCUGAUAUUGGAAGCUGGGGACCGCAAGGCCUGGCACUUCACGAUGAGCCCGCGGCCUAUCAGCUAGUUGGUGGGGUAACGGCUCACCAAGGCGAAGACGGGUAGCUGGUCUGAGAGGACGACCAGCCACACUGGAUCUGAGACACGGUCCAGACACCUACGGGUGGCAGCAGUCGAGAAUUUUUCACAAUGGCGCAAGCCUGAUGGAGCGACGCCGCGUGGGGGAUGAAGGGUUUCGAUCCGUAAACCCCUGUCAUUUGCGAACAAACCUUGAGUGCUAACAUCAUUCAAG